rfam:Canis lupus familiaris chromosome 27, whole genome shotgun sequence.
AGGAGGAACAACCACAGUGGUGGCGGCCAGCUCUAGAGCCCUGGAUUCAGCUCCCCCAGUAACUACAGAGCUCUCCCUCUGCAGGGGCCUGGAUGCUCCUGGUCGGG